rnacentral:rRNA from 1 species
UGGGGAAUAUUGGACAAUGGGGGCAACCCUGAUCCAGCAAUGCCGCGUGUGUGAAGAAGGUCUUCGGAUUGUAAAGCACUUUCGACGGGGACGAUGAUGACGGUACCCGUAGAAGAAGCCCCGGCUAACUUCGUGCCAGCAGCCGCGGUAAUACGAAGGGGGCUAGCGUUGCUCGGAAUGACUGGGCGUAAAGGGCGUGUAGGCGGUUUACACAGUCAGAUGUGAAAUCCCCCGGGCUUAACCUGGGAGCUGCAUUUGAUACGUGUAGACUAGAGUGUGAGAGAGGGUUGUGGAAUUCCCAGUGUAGAGGUGAAAUUCGUAGAUAUUGGGAAGAACACCGGUGGCGAAGGCGGCAACCUGGCUCAUGACUGACGCUGAGGCGCGAAAGCGUGGGGAGCAAACAG